ACUUUGAGAUCAGAAGUUUCUACCUCUACAACGACAUUUUUUUCCUACCUCUACAACGACAGCCACCACCACCACCUUCUCCGCCAUCACCUCCACUGCUACAAAUACUGCAAAAACUACAGUAAGGUCCUUUUAAUUUCAGAUAGGAAAAAUAAAUCUCUAUUCUUCUUUUUCCUUCUCUAUUGAUAUCAUCACCACCACCACCACCUCUGCAUUACCACCACUCCAUCGUCGUUUUCACCUCCGUCACAAGACCGAGUCAAGAGAAAUUUUAAAUCCAAUGAUGAAUCAACGAGAAAUUAAUCUCCAUAACCUAAUCUUAAGCAUCGGAAACAUUAAUUUCAUUUUGAUUUCGUUGGAAAACCUAAAACCAAUGAUUUCUACCGGAUUUGGUUUCAAUUUGUAAAAACCUAAAAUGUUAGUUCUUAAAGAUUGUCUGCAUCGAUUGGGAAUAGAUGAUAAAAUCUCCGUCAACAAUUGGAUCUAAAUAUUCAAUCAUCAAAAACGAAUAAAAAGGUGUUGUUGCAUAGGUGGUGUUGGUUGUUGUGUUUACAGUAGCGGUGGUGGAUAUUGCAUCAUUGUUGUUGGAGCCUAUUGUUGUUGGGGAGGUGAUGGUGGUGGCGUUUUCUGUAGUUGUGAGGGUGAUAAUGGUGGUGAUAGUAAUAUUGGUGUUGGCGUUGGUGUUGUGGAGGUGGUGAUGGCAGACUUUGAGAGGGACUUUUUUACUUUUAUUACUGAUGUAAGAGCAGCAGUAGAGUGGUGAAUGUAGACGGUGGCAGCAGCAGUGCUAUGAUCGUAGAAACUUUCCUUGUCAAGCUUGUUUAUUGAACGAACUCAUUGAAGGCGGCGGUGGCGGCGGCGGAGACGGUGACGCUGGUGGCGACAACAACGGUGACAUCAUCGAUAGUAGUGGCGGUGGUGGAAUAUUAUUGGUGGUUGUAGUUAGUAAGUGGUGGUGGUGGCGGCGGUGUUGGUGGUGGUGGUAGUGAUUGUGAAGUAAUAAAGAAAAAAAAAUUUAACGGAUAAUGUUUGUAAAGGAAAAAUAAUUAUAAAUGAGGGUAUUAAGAUAAUCUAUUUUCUAAUAAAUAAGGUUUUUAAA